rnacentral:rRNA from 1 species
AGAGUUUGAUCCUGGCUCAGGAUGAACGCUAGCGGGAGGCCUAACACAUGCAAGCCGAGCGGUAUUUGUUCUUCGGAACAGAGAGAGCGGCGUACGGGUGCGGAACACGUGUGCAACCUGCCUUUAUCUGGGAGAUAGCCUUUCGAAAGGAAGAUUAAUAUCCCAUAAUAUAUUAAGUGGCAUCACUUGAUAUUGAAAGCUCCGGCGGAUAGAGAUGGGCACGCGCAAGAUUAGAUAGUUGGUGAGGUAACGGCUCACCAAGUCAGUGAUCUUUAGGGGGCCUGAGAGGGUGAUCCCCCACACUGGUACUGAGACACGGACCAGACUCCUACGGGAGGCAGCAGUGAGGAAUAUUGGACAAUGGGUGAAAGCCUGAUCCAGCCAUCCCGCGUGAAGGACGACGGCCCUAUGGGUUGUAAACUUCUUUUGUAUAGGGAUAAACCUUUCCACGUGUGGAAAGCUGAAGGUACUAUACGAAUAAGCACCGGCUAACUCCGUGCCAGCAGCCGCGGUAAUACGGAGGGUGCAAGCGUUAUCCGGAUUUAUUGGGUUUAAAGGGUCCGUAGGCGGAUCUGUAAGUCAGUGGUGAAAUCUCACAGCUUAACUGUGAAACUGCCAUUGAUACUGCAGGUCUUGAGUAAGGUAGAAGUGGCUGGAAUAAGUAGCGUAGCGGUGAAAUGCAUAGAUAUUACUUAGAACACCAAUUGCGAAGGCAGGUCACUAUGUCUUAACUGACGCUGAUGGACGAAAGCGUGGGGAGCGAACAGGAUUAGAUACCCUGGUAGUCCACGCCGUAAACGAUGCUAACUCGUUUUUGGGUUUUCGGAUUCAGAGACUAAGCGAAAGUGAUAAGUUAGCCACCUGGGGAGUACGUUCGCAAGAAUGAAACUCAAAGGAAUUGACGGGGGCCCGCACAAGCG